rnacentral:rRNA from 1 species
CCUACGGGAGGCAGCAGUGGGGAAUAUUGUGCAAUGGGGGAAACCCUGACACAGCGACGCCGCGUGAGUGAAGAAGGCCUUCGGGUCGUAAAGCUCAAUAGUAUGGGAAGAAAGAAAUGACGGUACCAUACGAAAGCCCCGGCUAACUACGUGC